CGCUGAGCUUGCUGCGGGUUGUUGCCGCAUGUAGUUGUGGCAUGCUGUUGUUUACAUUUGCAUUGCGUUCAGCUUUCACGCUGCUCAGCUGCUUGGUGCCAGCUGCCACAGCAGCGCCAUAUGGCCAACGUAUCCUGUGGCGAGAAUGAGGAACGCGCCUGUUUGCCCUGCUAUGAGCCGAGCUGCUCGGUGCCCUUUAACUAUGAUGGCUCCUGCUCAACGGUCUGUCAUUUGGGCUGUAGCUGCAGAGCUAGCUUUGUGCGUGACGACAUCUCCUUGAAGUGUGUGUCCAUGUAUCAGUGCGACAAUAUGCUAACUUCAUCGAAUUCUCUAACGCCAUUAAAGCGUUAAGCAUGAACUGCACAAUUUUUCUAGUUUUUAAGGUAAACCCAGGUCUUUAGCCAGACUUAUUUUAGCCAUGUACGCAGCUCAGUUACAAUUAUUUUUGCUGCUUAUUUUGAGCUUAUUUUGCCAGGGUUUGCGGGCGCAGACUUAUGAGGAAUUGAGGGAAAAUGGCGAACUAACACCCAAAACUCUUUGCCUGCGCGAUAUUACCGGACACGUUACAAUCUGUUACAAAUAAAAAAAUGUAACUGCAAAGAAAUUGUGUUUUUUUUUUUUUGUCUCAAAAUAAGCAAUAGACAAGAUUGUGUAUACGUCUACCAUUUUAUAGAUUGUCCAAUUUAUUUUCUGCUUUUGCGUAAAUUUUUAUGGCACUGGGAGUACGUCUGUCUCCACGAUUUUCAUUUGCUUUUCUAUUUAGUUUUUGCUUUUUAUGGCUGCUCAGCAUCAAAUCUUGACCAAGAAAAUGUUCUUACUUUUUUUGGAGCACAAAAAGUUUUAUUGUUUACUUUUUAGUGCGCUGGAAAUUUACGAGUCUUAACGAGCAUGUGUGUGCACGUGUGUGUAUAUGUGUGUUGUGCACACUUGCACAGUACUUAGUCUAUAUAUGCCUGCUUUAUAAAUGCACAAUCUUAAGUCUGAAAUCUCACACACUCUCGUAAAUGUUAAUUUACUCAAUUCAAACUUGCGCCUCUAGUCGCUUAUUUUAUUUGUGUUUUAUUUUUUUUUCUGCACGUAGCAUAAACCGAAUAGUUUAUUUUCCACUUUAUUUAAUAAGUAAUAUCAAAAGAUUAAAAAGCGAUGAGAUUGCGAUUUCCUGCCUAUAAUUAUAGUUUUCAUGGCAAAUAAACUUGUUACCUAAGCUGGAAAAUCUCUAAAGAAAAACUGAACAUAAAAUAAACUGUUAACUGUGUGUUACAUUUAUUUUAUACUUUUUUGAAUUUUUUGCUAACAUGAGUUAUAAGACGUUUACAACUAGUAAAAUAUGUACACAAAAAAAACAUAUUUAAGUUUUAACAACUACUCAAAACAAUAAUUGCCGAAGAAACACGUUUCUAAUCUAUGGCUAUGGAUGUAGCCGGGUCUGAGCCGGAGUGCUAUUAAAAAGUUGAGUUUAUAAAGCCU